rnacentral:rRNA from 1 species
CAAUAGCGUAUAUUUAAGUUGUUGCAGUUAAAAAGCUCGUAGUUGGAUUUCGGGUGGGACGCAGCGGUCUCGCAUUGCGUUUGUACUGCUGCAGCCCUCCUUCUUGCCGGGGGCGGCCUCUCGGACUUCACUGUCUGGGGGUCAGAAUCGGCGAUGUUACUUUGAGUAAAUUAGAGUGUUCAAAGCAAGCUUACGCUCUUAAUAUAAUAGCAUGGGAUAACACGACAGGACUCUGGCCUAUCGUGUUGGUCUAUAGGACCAGAGUAAUGAUUAAGAGGGACAGUCGGGGGCAUUCGUAUUCCGUUGUCAGAGGUGAAAUUCUUGGAUUUACGGAAGACGAACAUCUGCGAAAGCAUUUGCCAAGGAUGUUUUCAUUGA